UACUCGAACACCCUUGCAAAGACAAAGCACGAACAUACAUCAAACUAUAUAUACACCAAACAAAAAUACACACUAAAACAAACUACAAAGUAUUAAUAAAACUGCCAAAACGUAACCACUUAGAACUCAGAUCUAACCCCACCCCUAAAGGGACCCUACGCUCCAAAUGGACGAAGUGGAUCCUCUAAAGCCAUCACCAAAUGACCACAACAUGGCGCGUGUGCACCUGUUACGUUAAUAGCCACAAACCAUACAAAAUAAACCCAGUCAAAGCAUGCUUUGACCGGACUACGCCCGAGCCUCUUCGUCUUACACGCUCACGCGUUGGGAACGUUUAAAAUGCCCGCAAUUCGGACGGAGAUGGGGUCCACCACCAAGGAUUAAUCAAGAAAUCCGAGACGUCCAUCGAAUGUGGGUCCCACAUCCGAUCAAAGCCUGGAAGUUCUUGACCAUGAAGAGCCAGAGAACGGCCCCAACUCUGUGGACGAACAGAAAUCCGCGCCAAGGACCUGAGAAUGAGGGAUUCCCGACCGACAUACAUCGCUGCCCAAAGAAGAUCUGGACCGUUCGAUUCUCGAGGAUGGAUGUUCCGAUCCCUUCCAACAAAGGAGUCGGGUCGAGCGGGAUCGAAGAGAGACACUCCGUCUUUCUCUCCAACACGGAUGUCUUACGGAAAGACCUUCUCGAAAGAACUGCUGUAGAGCGAUCCGGGCUGCUGAUCUUAAGGACCAGAAAUCACUCGCAACAGGAUCCAGACCGUCUGACGGAGCUGAUCAGACAAGGGAUGAGGCUAGCCAGAAACGCCAUUAAAAUAGGAACCCACCUGCCUAAUAAACGCCAAACGAUAGAUGAUGUUCUGAACGAUUAAGAAGGCCAUUACCUAAUGAAUGACCCACUAAGAUUUCAGAAGGAAGAAAAGAUAAGAACGGGAGUAAUACCAUUAUGUAAACACCACCGCAAUUCUCGACCGAACGAGAUUACGUCACUCGUUCCGCUGUUCGACUGCAUCGGAGAUACGCAGUAAGAAUCCAGAAAACAGAUAGCUAUAAAAGGGGAUCGAUCCCUCCGUUCGAGAGAUACAUGCAAUUGGAGAAAGAGAUGGGAAGAACGGAUGAAAGAAAAAAGGGAGCAAAGAAAGAAAGAAAGAAAGAAAGGGAGAAGGAAAGAACGAAGAAAGAAGAAGCGCCGAAUUCCGUCGAAAUUCAACGGAUGCCAGCAGCAAUUCAGGUGAAGCGAUAUUGGUCCUAAAGCUACCCAAACAUUAAAACCUAAAAAGACAUCCAAACAACCAAGAUGAUGCAGGUGAUAAACAGAUUGAAGACCCAGAGAACCACUUCCCCGAGGAAGACUAUAUUGAAUAGACAAGAAAAUAGUUUCAUGAUUUGUUUUAUUUACAUUUCUGUUGUAACUUGAAUUUGUAAUAAACUCCCAUCUGAGUGAGCAUUUAAUGAUUUGUUGAACUUUCUUUUCCUUUAAAUUGGAAUAAUAAUUACAGAGAAUUUCCUUUUCA